GACAGAGGAUGCAAGCGUUAUCCGGAAUGAUUGGGCGUAAAGCGUCUGUAGGUGGCUUUUUAAGUCCGCCGUCAAAUCCCAGGGCUCAACCCUGGACAGGCGGUGGAAACUACCAAGCUGGAGUACGGUAGGGGCAGAGGGAAUUUCCGGUGGAGCGGUGAAAUGCGCAGAUAUCAGGAGGAACACCAGCGGCGAAGGCGGCGCUCUGGGCCGGAACUGACGCUGAGGAGCGAAAGCGUGGGUAGCAAACAGG
rnacentral:rRNA from 1 species